AGCAUUUAUAGCAGAACAGUACCUUAGGAAGACCACUCUUCACAGCUCAAGACCAGAAUUACAGGGACUUGAAGAUGACUUGGAAAAUUUGGAUUUAGAAGACAAUGUCACAACUGAAUCGGUACUUGGAUGAUGAUUUCUUAGAGUUGCAGGAGAACGGACAUCACGGAGGAGACGGACAAAUAUACAUUACUCAACAAAAAUGUACUAGAUUAUUGUGAACUUUUUUUUAAAGGAGACUGAUAAGAAAGAAGAAACAAUGACUGUAAUGCAAGCAGUGAACAGUAACAACCUGAAGCAGACUCAAAACCAGUGGACAUUUCAUGGGCAGAAAUAUCAAAACAGAUGAGAAUUACAGGGACUUGAAGAUGACUUGGAAUAUUUGGAUUUAGAAGACAAUGACACAACUGAAUCGGUACUUGGAUGAUGAUUUCUUAGAGGUGCAGGAGGAGACGGGUAAAUAUACAUUACUCGACAGAAAUGUACUAGAUUAAUGUGAACCUUUUUAAAGGAGACUGAUAAAGAAGAAACAAUGAUUGUAAUGCAAGCAGUGAACAAUAACAACCUGAAGCAGACUCAAAACCAGUGGAGAUUUCAUGGGCAGAAAUAUCAAAACAGAUGAGAAUUACAGGGACUUGAAGAUGACCUGGAUAAUUUGGAUUUAGAAGACAAUGUCACAACUGAAUCGGUACUUGGAUGAUGAUUUCUUAGAGGUGCAGGAGAACGGACAUCACGGAGGAGACGGGUAAAUAUACAUUACUCGACUGAAGACCAAAACAACAAUGAAAGCCCAUGGGCAAGCAGACCGGAGAAAUAACUUUUGUGUCUAGCCGCCAGGAAAUAAUGGAUGGACCAGCAGUAGCCGGGAAUCAGGAGUUUUUCCUCUCCUGUAUGCUAAAGGGCAGUGGUCCCAGUCAGGAUACCUAUAAGGGAUGCUUGGGAAUUGGAGUGCAGAAUUGCAGCCCUGCUGGGGUUCCUACAUAUUGAUAGAGGACACUAUCAGGGGAGGACCUCCCUACUUUUGUUACGGCCAGGAAUUGUUUCCUGGACGAUUUUAUGUGGCCCCGGAAACAUUCUCGGUUCUGGUAUGAAAGGGAGCCUGCUGCCACACACGAACAAGUCAGAGUUGAGAGGCAGCAGGCAAUACUCAGCGGAGGAGAGAAGUAGGAAGAAUUUGUGUAUUGUGUAUUCUGAGGCUGAUUACUGGAGGAUUAUGGA